rnacentral:rRNA from 1 species
CUAAGGUAGCAUAAUCACUUGUCUAUUAAUUAUAGUCCAGUAUGAAGGGGUAAACCACACCCAACUGUCUCUGUCAGACACACAUAAAUUAAUCUCUGUGUGAAAAAGCACGGAUACUAGCGUAAGACAAGAAGACCCUACAGAGCUAUAUCUGUUUUGGAUAACCACCUAAACCAGAUCUUAAAUGGGGUGUUUAGAGGAGGAGUAAACCACACACCUCUCUUUUUAAAGACCAACAGGUCUACUUAUCGAACCACAUCCACACAUGUAUCCAGUAAUCAGUUACCUUAGGGAUAACAGGCUAAUACUUUUCCAAAGCCCAUAUCAACAAAAGUGUUUGGCA